rnacentral:sRNA from 2 species
UAUCUCUCCGUACGGGGAAGGAUGAGAAGCUUCGACUAAGGUUCGAUUCGAGCGAAAGCGAGAAAGCGUUGCCACAGGCAACGACCCGAAGGGCGAAGCGCGCAGCGCUGAGUCAACCUUCCCCCACCACCA